rnacentral:rRNA from 1 species
AUGCCUCUGAAUGAGAAUCCUAAUGCUAUCUCCUGGUCCCUGAAUAGUGGAGGUAGAUUCACCACUAAAUCUGUAUAUAAAUGGCUGGAGAGAGAUCUAUCUGGCCCUAAUUAUAAAUGGGUGUGGAAAGCGGCAAUCCCGUUGAAAAUAAAAAUAUUUCUAUGGCAAUUAUUCCAAGAUGCUGUUCUCACGCGCGAUAACAUGCGGCGGAGGAAUUGGCCAGGAAAUCCUGUGUGCUCUUUUUGUACUAAUGUGGAAACUGCUAACCAUCUUUUUUUCGCUUGCCCUCUCGCCCGCACAGUUUGGGGGGUGCUGGGGUUGACUGUUGGGGCUUCCUGUGCUCCCAAAUCAAUCUGGCAAAGUCUGGCUUGGAUGUACAAUUUGCUUCCUGGAGGCAAAAAAUUCUAUACGAUGAUCAUUGCUGCAGUGUGCUGGGGGAUUUGGUGCCUUCGCAACAAAACUACUUUUGAUAAGUAUAAUGCUCGUUCUCCGCUGGAGGCUGUCUUCACCGCUUGCUCUUUUAUGUUAUACUGGGCAGGGCUGCUUAAGGAGGAUGACAGGAGGAAAUUCCAGGAUGGUGUGAAGAGGCUGGCUCAUGUGGCAGCGGCACUAGCGGACAGGCCUUAUGCGCGUGGCAGGCUUCUUCUGGGAGAUGAAGAUGGCAUACAGAUUGGUUAG